CUGGGGGUGAAGAGUGCUAGUGUUAGGGGGUUUCCGCCCCUUAGUGCUGCAGCUAACGCAUUAAGCACUCCGCCUGGGGAGUACGGUCGCAAGACUGAAACUCAAAGGAAUUGACGGGGGCCCGCACAAGCGGUGGAGCAUGUGGUUUAAUUCGAAGCAACGCGAAGAACCUUACCAGGUCUUGACAUCCUCUGACAACCCUAGAGAUAGGGCUUUCCCUUCGGGGACAGAGUGACAGGUGGUGCAUGGUUGUCGUCAGCUCGUGUCGUGAGAUGUUGGGUUAAGUCCCGCAACGAGCGCAACCCUUGAUCUUAGUUGCCAGCAUUCAGUUGGGCACUCUAAGGUGACUGCCGGUGACAAACCGGAGGAAGGUGGGGAUGACGUCAAAUCAUCAUGCCCCUUAUGACCUGGGCUACACACGUGCUACAAUGGACAGAACAAAGGGCUGCAAGACCGCAAGGUUUAGCCAAUCCCAUAAAUCUGUUCUCAGUUCGGAUCGCAGUCUGCAACUCGACUGCGUGAAGCUGGAAUCACUAGUAAUCGCGGAUCAGCAUGCGGCGGUGAAUACGUUCCCGGGCCUUGCACACACCGCCCCUCACACCACGAGAGUUUGAAACACCCGAAGUCGGUGACCCUAACCUUUAUGGAGACAUCCGCUGAAUCGUGGGCCCGAUGAUGUAGUGAAGUCAUAACCAGGGUAACCGUAAGCGUUCUCUGCGCCCGUCACUGCGCCUGAAGAGCGAAGUGUGGGGAACCGAA
rnacentral:rRNA from 1 species